AGUCCUGACCAAUGCGCAUGCGUUCCGGCGCCGCUCAGCCUGGCCUCAAAGCUUGCUGUGUUCGCAGCUGUUGCGUUUAUGCCUUGACACUCCCAACCGGCCCGAGUGUUUGGCUCACAGCCCCUGCGCUGUGGCCGCGGGUACUUGCUGUCUCUCUGUCUACUGUGCUAGCACCCUCAUGGCACACUCAAGGGGAGUCAGCAACUGGCGCUUCCUGCGGCUGUGGCCUCCGGGAAGAGGCAAGUUGGGAAGGGGAAGGACAGCAAAGGCAGCAAACUGAUGGCAUGAGGAGCCUUUCUUUCGUGCAAGAUGUGGAACUGGAAAGAUGAUGGGAGGAGAAUGGAUCUCUGCGGCUAGCAGGUGCCAGGCCCGAGGUGCUGCUGGCCACUCAAGCCACACCUGGCAGAGCUGGCCUGGGGUUGGGGGAGCUGGGAUGCCUCUCCCCACAGGACCUGCUACACCCUGCAGGGCCCUGUGCAAAAUAAAAUUCAGGUCCCUCAUUCACAA